ACACCGAGCUGUAAAGAUGGCGGCCGGUUCUGGGGCUGCAAGCGGCCACGGAGCCCGUGGAUCCAGCGCGGCUAUGGAAGCGUCUCUGGACCGCAAGUUUCAAGGAGUAUCCAACACCAUGGAGGCCAUACAAGGACUUUCCAACUGGUGCAUUGAAAACAAGAAGAACCACCACCUUAUCGUUCGCCACUGGAUGAAGUGGCUCAAGAAAUCUGAUAACACCCAUCGCUUGAAUCUCUUCUACCUUGCCAAUGAUGUGAUACAAAACUGCAAAAGAAAGAACGCCAUUGUCUUCCGUUCAUCCUUCGCGGAGGUCCUACCUAAUGCGGUUCUGCUUAUUAAGGAUUUAAAGGUCCGAAGGUCGGUGGAGAGGAUCCUAACAAUUUGGGAGCAGAGGAGUGUGUAUUCCGAGGAGCUCAUCACCCAGCUCAAAACCAACUUGACCAAAAAGGAAAAGGACAGAGAGAAGCAGAAGCAGAAGGGAAAGGAGAAGGAAAAGGAGAAGGAGAAGGAAAAGGAAAAGGAAAAAGAAAAAGAGGCUCCACCUGCAAAUACCUCGGCUACCAACAAAGCUGCACUCAAGUCCAAGAUUGUAGCCGAGUUCACACCUCACUCCUUUGUGGAACAGUUGUCGCAAUACAAGAGAGCAGUGGCCGAAGAGGAACUCAAGGAGAAGCAGCUGGCAGCUCUCAGGCUGGAUGUCUGCAGCACAGAGGCCCUCAAGAGACUUAAAGACAAGGCAGGAGGGAACAAGUUCGCAAAGGACGUUGAGGACGGCAGUUUAAAGCUGCAGGAGUUUGUCAGCUUCCUGGACCAAGAGUUGGUAACAGGGCCUCCCCUGCUGGAAGCUUUGGGAAAUGCAGACAUAUUCUACGAGAUGCAGUACAAGGAGGUUAAGAUUGUGGCCAAUGCAUACAAUGCCUUUGCCAACCGUGUGGCCAGUCUCAAAAGGAAAUUGGAUUCCCUCAAGUCGACUCUACCUGGACCUGACGACUCCCCCAUGCCCUCUCCAUCAGAAGAUGCCCCCUCCCCGACAGGCUCCGACUCGCCCUUCCUGGGACAGGUGGCUACCAGAGCCCAGGUGGAUCCAGAGCUGGACGGCAAAGCAAUGGAUGAAGGAGAAAUGCAUAAUGACAACAGAGACAUGGAGGACAUGGAUAUGUCUGAUGAAGAAUCUGAUGCUGCCACAGCAGAUGAGAAGAAAGAAAAGGCAUCUGCUGCUGUUUCCAAGGCUAUGAAGUCUGAUUUGGCCCCAAAGCUUCCAACUACACCUACAAAGGCUGCUAAGACGAACGCUAACACAGCUGCUGUUACUACGACUACAAUGACUCCCACCUCUGCCUCUGCUCAGAGUGCUCCCACCAGCCCACUGGGAGUCAACCUGGCAAAGGUCGACUUAGGAAAGAUCACCUCCAUUCUCAACUCCCUCACGUCUGCUAUGAAGAAUACAGCAGCUAGUUCGUCACCUCGGCCGUCUCCUGGAACUCCCACCACCCCGUCUAUCCAAUCAGCAGCCUCCAAAGUGACCCCUUCUAGCCCUGCCCUGGCCAGCAUCUUGUCACGUGUUGACAUCACACCUGAAGGCAUACUCAAUGCUCUCUCUAAAACAAACACACAAGGUUUGUCCUCUCUCCUGCAAAGUGUGACAAACACUGCCUCAGCUCCUCCCACCAGAACCUCCCCCGAGUCUUCAACAGUUAAAACCCCACUCAGCCCAACGACCCCAAAAACAAAACCCAGUCUGGGGAACAGCCUCAAACGUGACGCAUCUGGAAGAACCAGAGAAACAUGGGAAAAAGAGAGAGAGCUGUCCCCUCCUCCACCCCCUCCCCCUCGUCCCACAGUUCCUUCUGUCUCUCCCCCCAGCCUAGAAUCGAAAAUCAAUAGUUUCUUGCAGGGUAAUCCAGGUUUUAGUCUUGCUCUAGGUGAUGUCAGUCCCGAUGGGGUGGAGGGGACUCCAGUUAGAGAUGAGGCAGCUGGAACCCCCACACAGGAUGAGAUCAUGGACACGCCUGGGAGUGUGCCAGAAUCUCUAGGGUCUUCUGUAGGUCAUAACCUCUCACCCACGGCCUACCGCAAGGAUCCCUGGGAUGCUGUGAUCACCCCGUCAGGAGGCAACAGCGAUGGAGAGUUCCUGAGCUCCUCUUCUUCCCGAUAUGGAGCUGGGAAAAAGAACAGCACAAAAUUGAAGGAGGAUGAAGCGAUGAAUAUAAGGAGGCAGGUCUCCUCCUCCCCCAGUAAUGACAUGACGGGUAAGAAAGAGGGACAACACAACCAGUUAAGGAUGAUGGGCCUCAACAGAGCAGGAGAGAGGAGACUCUCUUCAGGCUCUCGUAAGACGAGCACUGGCUCAGAUGACGGAAGUCUGAGUGGAAAAAGAGAAGACAAUGGGAAAGAGUCUGCAGGCAGGGAUAGGAAAGAGGGUCAGUAUCAUCGUAUUGAGACACUAGUAUCCCCCUGCACGGAAGGAGCACCUAUCCAAACUCUGAGCUACUCUAAUCGCCCCCUUGCUGGAGAGCGCAUCAAGACGGUAGAGAGCAUCCGCGUGAUUGGCCGGGGCUCUCGGCGAGGAGGAGGAGGGGCUGGCGGCCGGGCAGGAGGAGCGAUGUGGUAUGAAGAGGAAGAAUACAUGGAAGCUCAGCCCCCCUCACCCCGCACUGGCCCACCUCCUCCUAACAUUGGCCAGGGAGGCGCAGAGGACAUGAACCCCUCCAUGCCACCUCCUCACCCACAACUCCUCCUCCCUCAUCUUCACCCGCCUCCGGGCCAUCCUCAUCCUCACCCACACCUCCCUCCCCAAGCUCACUUCCAAAUGCCCUACCACACGGACCCUCCACCGUCACACCACCACCACCACCAGCAUCUUCCUCCUCCAUCCUCUUUCUUCAGCAAUCCUCCACCAAUCCCCCGACCCCCUCCCCCCCCUUUACCACAGCACAGUUCCUUGCCCUCUGCAGUCAUGGUGGGAGGAGUGUUGGUACCCCUUGACCGUCCCCUAUCUCUUCCUCCCCAAAUCAGACCUGACGGUGUUGAGCGAGGCGGAAUAGGGAGCAGAGGAAACAAAGGUGGUCCUCCACCCCUCAUGACAUCAUUGCUAGGUGAGCCCCAUAAGAUGCCCCGCCCUGGCACCGUUAAAGAGCCUUUUUUCCCACGCCAUGCACCCCCUCUUCACCGCCCAGGCACCCCUGGUGUCCCUCCACCUUUACUGGGCAGAGUGAAGGAGCCACUCAAUCUACCUCUUCCACCCCGCUCUCCCUCCUCCACAUCAUCCACGACCUCUCCCUCCACGCCUAAUUCCCCUGCAGUCGACUCUGCCCCUGGUCGUCUCCCUUCUCAGUCCGCUGCCCCCCCUCUCCAGAAACCCCCUACUAGUCCUCCACCUCAGCCCCGCAACCAAACCUCGAACCCCGUCCCCCUCCUCAACUUGCCCACUUCUCGGCCCCCAAACCUUUCAGGUCACAUGUCACAGAGACCUCUGCUGCGAGGCCGUACACCCCCUCACCACCACAACCAAGAUCACCACAUGGGAGGAUUUCGUGGGGGAAAGCGGCAGGGUCCUCCAUUCACAGGUGGUCCUUUCCAUCAUGGGCAGAAGAGACCCUUCCUACCCCCGCGCUACUGAAGUGGUCAUCUAUAACAAGCUGAAUGAAGUGCAAGCCACACAUCUAGCAGCGCAGUGUGUGUGUUAGCCCCACUGCUGCAGGUGUCGCCAGUUGUAUCGGAGCGACUGCAGGUCUUCGAGUCGCUCAUUGAGAAACGAGGCAUUAAGAAGAGGGUUGAAGCUUCAGAGAAACCCCUCAGCAUUCGAUUGGCUGACGGCCGCACGGUGAAGGGAAAG